GGACUGUUAGCUUAGUUGGUAGAGCAGGGGACUCUUAAUCCCAAGGUCCGGGGUUCGAGUCCCCGACAGUCCACCA
rnacentral:tRNA from 19 species